GGGUGAUUCAGCUGCCUAAAGGCCAGUUUGCAUACGUAUGACCAGUAUGCAAAGAUGAGCAACAUCCAGCGGUCAGGGCAAUAGAAUGUCACACAUGAAUGAGUGGAUCCAUGAGAAAGAUUUAACAAAGAAUGACUGAUUAUGUCAUUCCUCUGAGUAUUCCCUGUACUUCAAGAUGUAUCUUGCACAACAAUUUCUAUCUGGUCUCAGGAGGGUGCGGUCAAACACAUAAAUGCAAAUAAAUACAUGUCCCUAUAGGACUAUAGAGAGAAAGGCCUUAACUUGCUCCUGGGGAGAUUCAGGUUGGACAUGAGGAAUUGCUUUUUCUCUGAAAGAGUGGUCAGGCACUGGAAUGUGCUGCCCAGGGAGGUGGUGGAAUCACCAGCCCUGGAAAUGUUCAAGAAACUGAUGUUGAACUGAGUGACAUGGUUUAGUGGGAACUAUUGGUGGUAGGUGAACGGUUGGAUUGGAUGACCUUGGAGAUGUUUUCCAACCUUGGAGAUUCCAUGAUUCUAUGAAAUGUAGUCAAAUAUGUUAAAAGAUGAAUUCUGUCAAUCAGAUGAGACAGUGACAAAAAGCUGGGAGAUGUGAACCAGCCAAGAAGCAAAGAAGUCCAAGGACACAGUAAUUUUGUAGCUGAUAUCUAUGAAUAUAACUGACUGGGAUAUCGCUGAAGAUGACAAUUUGGAAAUAUUGUUCUGACAUGAUGCUACCAAAGCAAAGGAGAAGGCAAGCCAGCAUUUAUAUACAAGAUAUAAAAAUAUGAUUAUAAAAUUAUUAGCUCGAGGCAACUAUCUAAAACUGGUUUCUAACUGAAGUACGAGUUUAAAAUUUGCAGAGGUUUCCUGUAUCUUCUCUUUCUAUUCCCAUCCAUUGUCUUCAGAGA